UGUCCGUCUGCGGAAGCUGCAUGAGCAAAGCCAAGCCAAGCCCUUUGCCCUGUUGUCGUCGUCGACACCGUUAUCCUCCCCCCUCGCACGAAUUUUCCGGCGAUCAUCCGGCCGAUCAGGGUCUCGGCGAAAGGUGCUAAAGUUCUGGGCAGCGAUCGGCGCGCGGCUGGUCCCGUGGGUUUCUGAGUUACUGGGUGCGAGGUUCGAGGGGAUUCGGUGCCGAUCGGCGGCGGGUUCUUCGACGAGGGGCGGGAAGCCGGCUGGGAAAGGUUCUUCGGGCCGGUGCUUCCUUAUUUUUGGUGUUUCUUUCUUACCGCUUGGCGCGGGAGGAGAGCGCGGGCGAUCGUCAGCGAGAGAGAGGGAGAGAGAGAGAGGGUUCUGAGAAGGAUGAGAUUGGAUGGGUGAACGAUGCCGGUUCUGCGCAGUGGAGUGCGCAAGGGCCGUGCACAGCCACGCGCGGAUUUGAACGGGAAGGCGGCCGGAGGCGGGGGAGGAGGAAGGAGACGAGGAGGGAAGAACAAUGGAGCCGGUGCGAGGUUGAGAUCAGGAGCAGCAAGGGGCGGAGGAGCAGCAGCAGGGGGGAGUGGGGAAAGAGAGGUUCUGGAGAACAGCGAUCGGGGGGAGAACUUGGGUCUCGAGAACAAAGGGAAAGAAUUGGUUGAGGAAGCCAAAAUGGAGGAUUACGACAGCGGCGGGAGAAGCGCAGAUAAGGUUCCUGCUGCAGAAGAUGAGGGAAGCACGGCACCCCUUCCUGAGAAGGUCCAGGUUGGCGGUUCGCCAGUAUAUAGAAUUGAAAGGAAGUUAGGGAAAGGAGGUUUUGGACAAGUUUAUGUUGGUCGCCGUGUAUCUACUCCAAAUUCGAGUGGGGCAACUGGUUCUGGUGCCAUCGAGGUGGCUCUCAAAUUCGAACACAGAAGUAGUAAAGGUUGUAACUACGGGCCUCCUUAUGAGUGGCAAGUCUACAAUGCACUUGGUGGCAGUCAUGGCGUUCCUCGGGUUCACUAUAAAGGCCGUCAGGGAGAUUACUAUGUCAUGGUGAUGGAUAUGCUGGGCCCCAGUCUGUGGGAUGUUUGGAACAAUAAUGCUCAUAAUAUGUCCACUGAAAUGGUAGCUUGUAUUGCUAUAGAGGCGAUCUCUAUACUGGAGAAGAUGCACUCUAGAGGAUAUGUUCAUGGGGAUGUAAAGCCUGAAAAUUUCCUUCUUGGCCCUCCUGGGACUCCUGAGGAGAAAAAGCUGUUUCUUGUUGAUCUUGGAUUGGCUACUAGAUGGCGCGACAGUUCAACUGGUCAGCAUGUUGAAUAUGACCAAAGACCAGAUGUUUUCAGGGGAACAGUUCGGUAUGCUAGUGUGCAUGCCCAUUUGGGAAGAACUGGCAGCAGAAGAGAUGACCUGGAAUCACUUGCAUAUACACUUGUCUUUCUUUUGCGUGGUCGUUUGCCUUGGCAGGGUUACCAGGGUGAGAAUAAAAGUUUCUUGGUUUGUAAGAAGAAGAUGGCUACAUCACCAGAAGCUCUAUGCUGUUUUUGCCCACAGCCAUUCAGGCAAUUUCUUGAAUAUGUGGUAAACUUGAAGUUUGAUGAGGAACCUAACUAUGCGAAGUAUGUUUCUUUGUUUGAUGGAAUAAUUGGUCCAAAUCCAGCUGGGAGGCCAAUAAAUACAGAUGGAGCUCAGAAGCUUGUCUAUCAGGUUGGGCAAAAAAGAGGGCGGCUAACUAUUGACGAAGAAGAUGAUGAGCAGCCGAAGAAGAAGGUCCGGAUGGGGAUGCCUGCAACACAAUGGAUUAGUGUUUACAAUGCCCGCCGUCCGAUGAAGCAGAGGUAUCACUACAACGUUGCGGAUGCAAGGCUUGUACAGCACAUUGAGAAAGGGAAUGAAGAUGGGCUAUUCAUCAGUAGUGUAGCAUCUUGUACAAAUCUGUGGGCCCUUAUCAUGGAUGCUGGAACUGGUUUUUCUUCUCAAGUAUAUGAAUUAUCUAGCUCUUUUCUUAACAAGGAAUGGAUCAUGGAGCAAUGGGAGAAAAAUUAUUAUAUUAGUGCAAUAGCAGGAGCAAAUAAUGGAAAUUCUUUGGUGGUAAUGUCAAAAGGUACACAAUAUGCCCAGCAAUCUUACAAGGUCAGUGAUUCCUUUCCUUUCAAAUGGAUAAACAAGAAGUGGAGGGAAGGUUUCUCUGUCACAUCCAUGGCCACUGCUGGAAGUAGAUGGGCAGUUGUCAUGUCUCGAAAUGCUGGUUUUUCAGAUCAGGUUGUUGAGCUUGAUUUUCUGUACCCUAGUGAAGGCAUACAUCGAAGAUGGGACAGUGGUUACCGCAUAACAGCAACAGCUGCCACAUGGGAUCAAGCUGCUUUUGUUUUAAGUGUACCCCGAAGAAAACCUACUGAUGAAACACAGGAAACCCUUCGCACGUCGGCAUUUCCUAGUACACACGUUAAGGAGAAGUGGGCCAAAAAUCUCUAUAUAGCAUCUAUUUGCUAUGGCCGAACUGUUUCUUAAGCAUGGAGAAUUCUGUUAGGGACUGGGGAUGCAUAUAACCCUAUGGAAGAUUGCCAUGAAGAAUCCUUUUGAUUUGUUGAAGUGGAUCUUUUUGCUCAUUUUCUAUGGAUGAGAUGUGAUUCAGCCCAAGUUUCAUCCACCGAACCAGCUGGUAACCUCUGUCAAGGACGUUUGCCGUCUCCAUGGUAGGGGCAGUAUGUUGGUUUUGUAAGGCUGUUCAAGUAGAAGGACCUACCACUUCAUCGGAGUGGUCUGGGUUGGGUCUUACUGAUGUUGGAAGCACGUAUGAACCAGUCAGAGUAAGGUUGUUAUAAGUGCAUGACAACUCGGUUAUUCUUUGCUUUCUAGUACAGGUUAUAUACCAUUUAUGCGAGUACCUGAGGAAUGUCUUUCCUGAAGGCCUUCUAUGGGAUGCAUGUUGUUGAGACACGAGGAUGUGUCUAUGCAAGGUUGCUAAAAGGCUGCAUAGAUUAAGUUAAUGUGCUAAUGCUUAUCCUAAUUCGGCUCAGUUUUUUGUUCUUACGAGGAGAAGAGUAGUAAGUGGAUCAUCCAACAAUUUUGGAUCUGAUAGAUCUAUUUGUCUCUUUCGGGUGGCAUCUUGAGCUACAAUUGCACUCACAAAGUAUAGGGACAUCCUAGUGAGGGGACCUUAGGGCAUCAAAAUGGUGCUGGUUUGUUAGGUGGUGGUGAGAUCUUGUCAUAAUGGUGACUGGUGCUAGGCUUGUUAAGCGUGAAAAUGGCUAGCCGCUAGAGUUGGGUAAAGCAGAUCAGCUGGAGGAAAGGCUCUUUGAUAUGGAAAGCCUACCACAGGAUUUUGCAAGAAGGUCAAGAAAAGCUAGGUGACCCAUUGACAUUCAUGCGGCAAAUUGGAAAGUAGAAACGCCAGAAGGCAUGGUGUUUAUAAAUUUUGUAGAAGUUCAUGAUGUUAGAUUGUUUAAUGGAGCUUGGUGAUUGGAAGGCAAGUCCCAACAGUCACCAUAACUUAAGUCGUCUUUGUCCGCAAUUGGGAAAACGCAUGUAGACCUCAUGGCGAUCCAGUGAGGUUCUCUGGUUCUCCGCGGGAGGAGAGAGAUGCCCUCUGGGGUUGGGCUGAAGUUAGAAAAGUUUGAUUGCUGGCAGAAUUUUUGAUUUGGGGACUUGCAAGAUCUCGAGCAAUAUUAGUCAAAUUCAGUUGUCAUUUUUUGCCAUGUGGGUGACGAGGAAAAGAGAAUGGAGGUGAUUCAUGUGAUAUGGUUUUUAGCAGAAUGUCUCAACUUAUCACGUUAGCAUCUUUUGUAUAUGGAAAAGAAAACGGAAGUGCCAUAUAUUUGACCUCUGGUGGGUGGUCGGUCGUCUCGUGGGCCACCAUGGAAACUCUGGAGGCGUUUUUUGCGCAGGAUGAAACUAAAACUAUAAAAACGGUAGGUGUGCAUCUCAAGGCCGUGGAAGAACGUUCUUGAGUUUAGAGAGGGAAGAAUGCUCGAGUUUAGAGUGGAAGCCCAUAAGAUUAUCCAUGCUUGGGUUUCAUUUGAAGAACUUAUCCUAAUUACUAGCACAAUGGACAUGGGGAGCCAACUGCCAGUAAUUGAGCUGGAUUUAAGAAGCGAUGCAUUGCCACUGUAAAUGGACCAUUUGUUUCAUUCCGAGCCAUUAAGUGGUGGCCAUCGUUCGUUGCCUCGGACUCUUUUGAGUUGCAAUUGUAGGGCGACCCUGUGGCUGAUAACACUAUUUGAUUCCAGUGAAAUAUCUGUCACAAGAAUCUGAUUUUCGAGAGAAAAUUAAUUAUAAGGUGACUCCUAACAGCUAAUGUCGGGUCAACUUUUGUUGGAUUUAUAUGGAAACAUUAAUUAUAACUUGCGCACUUUUGCCUGUCA